GUGGCCAAAAAAAAAUGCAACCAGUACUGAGAUAUGCUGUAGGCAUAGAAUACCUCAUUAAUAAAUUUUUAUGUUAAGCACCUGUUAAAAUGAUAAUAUUUUGGAUAUGCUGGGUUAAAUAAGAUAUACUGUGAACAGUAAUGUCACUUGUUCUUUUUACCAGUUUUAAUAAGGCUACUAGAAUAUUUAAAAACACAUAUGUGGCUGGCAUCAUGUAUCCAUCAGGCUGCACUGAUCUGGUCAGUGGCUGCCUCCAUUGCUCUGUACCUCUGCUGCCCACCACUGCGCAGACUCAUGAAGGUACCCAGGCCCCCAGAGCCUUGCAUGGGGUUUUGUCCAUCAUAGGCACUCCAAAAACACAUGCUGAGUGAUUCCAUGCCAGGCUGCCCAUCCUGAUUUCAGGAAAGAGAAGUGAGGCAAAGAAGACACCUGAUCCCUCCGGCUUCUGCCCCCACCGCCUCAUCACCUCCUACCCUGUGCCCAACAGAGACCCAGGCCCAGAGCCCAAUAUGAGAGGAAAGAUCAGCCCUGGUGCUCUGAGGGCGUGCCGAGUCUUUCCCCAUAUCCCUGUCCCUCUCUCCUUCCUUUCUCCUUUUCCUUCUUUCUCUCUCUUUCCCUCUCUCUCUUUCUCCGAAAUAUCAUUUCUCAUGGUUUGGAUGAAACCCAUUAUUCCCAAUUAACCUGCUGUGAACCCACAGUACUUGCUGGCUUUCCCAUAAUUAUUCAUCCAUAGUAAUAGCUAAAGUAAAUUCUGGCGGUCUCAGCGAACACUGACAUCUCCUUUGGGAAAACUUUCAAAGAUGCCGUGUCCUUGGUUCCUUAUCAAAAGCUUCCCUGCCCGGUUUUGUUUCAUUUUCUUUUUUGUGGUUAAUUCUUGAGAAGAAGGAAGCUCAGACCAGAAUAGCUCCAUCCCAAUACCAAGCUAUGAUGAGAGACUCCGGUUGUGCUGUCCCAUCCUUUCUGCCUGCGGGCAGAAUAGAAGCCAGACGGGCAGCAUCCAGGCCAGCCGGGGAAAAGGAAGACCAACGGUGUAAACCUAGCAUUGCACAACCAGAAUUCUAUAAUGUUCUUCCUGAAGCAGAGCCACAGGAGGAUGCCCAGCCCAGCCCUACCCCUUGGCCUAUCUCACCUAUUGGAAGAUGCUGCUUGAGGAGCUCAUCCCCAAAGGACUCAAAGCCCCCAAUCCCUGAUGGAUGUCUCCUUUCCCAGCUUCUCCUCCCUUCUCCAGGCCAUCCCCUUUCAAGCCUUAAUCUCUAAAAUUGCACUAGUCAAUCAAGUCACCACUUGUGUCGAUUUAAACUAAGUUAAUCAAAAGCAAAUAAAAUGUGGAGUCCCUGUUGUA